rnacentral:rRNA from 1 species
UACGUAGGGGGCUAGCGUUGUCCGGAAUCAUUGGGCGUAAAGCGCGUGUAGGCGGUUCGGUAAGUCCGCUGUGAAAGUCGGGGGCUCAACCCUCGGAUGCCGGUGGAUACUGUCGGACUAGAGUGCGGAAGAGGCGAGUGGAAUUCCUGGUGUAGCGGUGAAAUGCGCAGAUAUCAGGAGGAACACCAAUAGCGAAGGCAGCUCGCUGGGACGGUACUGACGCUGAGGUGCGAAAGCGUGGGGAGCGAACAGG